UGCAAGUAGAACGCUGAAGAGAGGAGCUUGCUCUUCUUGGAUGAGUUGCGAACGGGUGAGUAACGCGUAGGUAACCUGCCUUGUAGCGGGGGAUAACUAUUGGAAACGAUAGCUAAUACCGCAUAACAAUGGGUGACUCAUGUCAUUUAUUUGAAAGGGGCAAAUGCUCCACUACAAGAUGGACCUGCGUUGUAUUAGCUAGUAGGUGAGGUAACGGCUCACCUAGGCGACGAUACAUAGCCGACCUGAGAGGGUGAUCGGCCACACUGGGACUGAGACACGGCCCAGACUCCUACGGGAGGCAGCAGUAGGGAAUCUUCGGCAAUGGGGGCAACCCUGACCGAGCAACGCCGCGUGAGUGAAGAAGGUUUUCGGAUCGUAAAGCUCUGUUGUAAGUCAAGAACGAGUGUGAGAGUGGAAAGUUCACACUGUGACGGUAGCUUACCAGAAAGGGACGGCUAACUACGUGCCAGCAGCCGCGGUAAUACGUAGGUCCCGAGCGUUGUCCGGAUUUAUUGGGCGUAAAGCGAGCGCAGGCGGUUUGAUAAGUCUGAAGUUAAAGGCUGUGGCUCAACCAUAGUUCGCUUUGGAAACUGUCAAACUUGAGUGCAGAAGGGGAGAGUGGAAUUCCAUGUGUAGCGGUGAAAUGCGUAGAUAUAUGGAGGAACACCGGUGGCGAAAGCGGCUCUCUGGUCUGUAACUGACGCUGAGGCUCGAAAGCGUGGGGAGCGAACAGGAUUAGAUACCCUGGUAGUCCACGCCGUAAACGAUGAGUGCUAGGUGUUGGAUCCUUUCCGGGAUUCAGUGCCGCAGCUAACGCAUUAAGCACUCCGCCUGGGGAGUACGA
rnacentral:rRNA from 1 species